AACGCGAAGAACCUUACCUACUCUUGACAUCCUGCGAAUCUGGCUGAGAGGCUGGAGUGCCGAAAGGAGCGUAGAGACAGGUGCUGCAUGGCUGUCGUCAGCUCGUGUUGUGAGAUGUUGGGUUAAGUCCCGUAACGAGCGCAACCCUUAUCCUUAGUUACCAGCGAGUAAAGUCGGGGACUCUAAGGAGACUGCCGGUGAUGAAUCGGAGGAAGGUGGGGACGACGUCAAGUCAUCAUGGCCUUUAUGAGUAGGGCUACACACGUGCUACAAUGGGGCGUACAGAGGGUAGCCAACCCGCGAGGGGGAGCCAAUCCCGCAAAGCGUCUCGUAGUCCGGAUUGGAGUCUGCAACUCGACUCCAUGAAGUUGGAAUCGCUAGUAAUCGCGAAUCAGCAUUGUCGCGGUGAAUACGUUCCCGGGCCUUGUA
rnacentral:rRNA from 1 species